rnacentral:tRNA from 1 species
GGCUUCGUGGUCGAGUGGUAAGAGCACUUGCCUCUCACCAUGGAAUCCAGGGUUCGAUCCCCGGUCGAAGAGCUG